CGAGUGGCGAACGGGUGAGUAAUGCAUCGGAACGUGCCCAGUAGUGGGGGAUAGCCCGGCGAAAGCCGGAUUAAUACCGCAUGAGACCUGAGGGUGAAAGCGGGGGAUCGCAAGACCUCGCGCUACUGGAGUGGCCGAUGUCAGAUUAGCUAGUUGGUGGGGUAAAGGCCUACCAAGGCAACGAUCUGUAGUUGGUCUGAGAGGACGACCAGCCACACUGGGACUGAGACACGGCCCAGACUCCUACGGGAGGCAGCAGUGGGGAAUUUUGGACAAUGGGCGCAAGCCUGAUCCAGCAAUGCCGCGUGCAGGAAGAAGGCCUUCGGGUUGUAAACUGCUUUUGUCAGGGAAGAAAUCCUCUGGGUUAAUACCUCGGGGGGAUGACGGUACCUGAAGAAUAAGCACCGGCUAACUACGUGCCAGCAGCCGCGGUAAUACGUAGGGUGCGAGCGUUAACCGGAAUUACUGGGCGUAAAGCGUGCGCAGGCGGCUUUUGCAAAACAGAUGUGAAAUCCCCGGGCUCAACCUGGGAACUGCAUUUUUGACUUGCAAGGCUAAAGUACGGCAAAAGGGGAUGGAAUUCCCCGUUUAGCANUUGAAAUUGCGUAUAUUAUGCGGAAGGAACAGCCGAUUCGCGAAAAGCAAUCCCCCUGGGCCUGGUUCUUUACGCUCAUUGCCCCAAAACCGUUGGGGGGGCAAACCAGGGAUUUANAAUANCCCUGGGUUANUNCCCCCCCCCCUAAACNAA
rnacentral:rRNA from 1 species